rnacentral:rRNA from 1 species
GACGAACGCUGGCGGCGUGCUUAACACAUGCAAGUCGAACGGAAAGGCCCUGCUUUUGUGGGGUGCUCGAGUGGCGAACGGGUGAGUAACACGUGAGUAACCUGCCCUUGACUUUGGGAUAACUUCAGGAAACUGUGGCUAAUACCGGAUAGGAGCUCCUGCUGCAUGGUGGGGGUUGGUAAGUUUCGGCGGUUGGGGAUGGACUCGCGGCUUAUCAGCUUGUUGGUGGGGUAGUGGCUUACCAAGGCUUUGACGGGUAGCCGGCCUGAGAGGGUGACCGGCCACAUUGGGACUGAGAUACGGCCCAGACUCCUACGGGAGGCAGCAGUGGGGAAUAUUGCACAAUGGGCGGAAGCCUGAUGCAGCAACGCCGCGUGCGGGAUGACGGCCUUCGGGUUGUAAACCGCUUUCGCAUGUGACGAAGCGUGAGUGACGGUAAUGGGUAAAGAAGCACCGGCUAACUACGUG